rnacentral:tRNA from 1 species
AAAUUUAGGUUAGCCCAAACCAAGGACCUUCAAAGCCCUAAAUGUGAGUAACCAACCCUCAUAGUUUCUG